UCAAAACAGCAUGCAAAACUCACCCCAGCUUGGGGAGUGACACAUGCAGGACAUUUUUUCUCAUCUGAUGAAACGCCCACACACAUAAAGGAUGUCUCAGUGGCUCCAGGAAGUCCAAGGAAACAUAUAAAAGCACUUGCAGCUCAGAGCUCUUCUAAUCACUCUCCGGCAUUUCUCUUCCUGGCUGAACCAAGUGUAGCUGAAUUGCAGAAAGAUGUCCUUCAACCGCCAGCUGCUCAGCUCCCGCUGCUUCAACCCCUGUGAGGUGACCUGCCCUCAGCCAUACGCCAAUGCCUGGAACGAGCCCUGCGUCACAUCCUGCGGCGACUCCAGAGCCGUGGUCUACCCACCCCCAGUGGUAGUCACCUUCCCAGGACCCAUCCUCAGCUCCUGCCCCCAGGAGAGCUACGUGGGAACCUCGGAGCCGCUCCAGAUCGGCAGCUCCUUUCUCUCCAGGGGCUCUGUUGGGUCCAGGAGCUCCUUAGGAUGCCUGUACCCUUACUAUUCCCAGCAAUACAACUGUGGGUCCUGUUAAACCCCGCAGGAAAAAUCACGGCACAGGGAACAGCACGGGAGUGGAAACCAAGACCACCAUGAAUGCAUCGAGGGGCAUGGCUUUCAGAAGAUCUCAACACCAAUGUUCCCACUGAAAUCAGGGAGCUCUGAGCUCUCUGCACCUUGGAGAGUUUGGGGGCAGAUAUUGGCUAAAGUCCUUCCCAAAAUGUUCUCUGCAUGAUUAUGUCCUGUUACGGCCACUUCUUAUUCCCAUUAAAGGUUGUGCUGCAUGGCAAA